rnacentral:rRNA from 1 species
UACGGGGGGGGUAAGCGUUGUUCGGAAUUACUGGGCGUAAAGGGCUCGUAGGCGGCCAACUAAGUCAUACGUGAAAUCCCUCAGCUUAACUGGGGAACUGCGUGUGAUACUGGAUGGCUUGAGUUUGGGAGAGGGAUGCGGAAUUCCAGGUGUAGCGGUGAAAUGCGUAGAUAUCUGGAGGAACACCGGUGGCGAAGGCGGCAUCCUGGACCAACACUGACGCUGAGUGAGCGAAAGCCAGGGGAGCAAACGGG